UUCUCUUUCCAUUGGUUAAAAAAAAAACAAAAAAAAUUAGUACCUGUAUCAAUCACAUUUUAUUAUAUUAACUAUACUAGCGAAUUAACAAUAUAUAUAAAAAAUAUACACUGAUAAUAAACAGUAUGUGACUUCUAAGAGAGCAUAGUUAUAGAAAUAGAUAAUACAUAAAGGAUGGGACUUUCAUAUAUGAAUCGUGUAUCAGGUAGCAUGCAAAAAGAACCUGAAAGAUACCACAUUUCUGGUUCAAACCAUCAUAAUAGUAUCAAAAUAAAAAGGUCUGAUAACAAUAAAUAUUUUUAUAAUUUCUUAUUGAUAUUUUUAUAUAAUAAGAUUUUAGUUUAAUAAUGUGUCAAUAUUACAAUAAUAAUAGUUAAUAAUUAUUACAUUUACUUAAUAGUAAAUCAUUUCAUACGUGUAGUAACAUGGUCUCUAACUUUAAAGUCAAACAAAAGUAUAAAAAACACAAUAUCCAAAU